rnacentral:rRNA from 1 species
UACAGAGGUCCCAAGCGUUGUUCGGAUUCAUUGGGCGUAAAGGGUGCGUAGGCGGUGUGGCAAGUUGGGAGUGAAAUCUCUGGGCUCAACCCAGAGGCUGCUUCCAAAACUGCUGUGCUUGAGUGUGGGAGAGGCGCGUGGAAUUGCAGGUGUAGCGGUGAAAUGCGUAGAUAUCUGCAGGAACACCCGUGGCGAAAGCGGCGCGCUGGACCACAACUGACGCUGAGGAACGAAAGCUAGGGGAGCAAACAGG